rnacentral:rRNA from 1 species
UACGUAGGGGGCAAGCGUUGUCCGGAUUUAUUGGGCGUAAAGAGCGUGUAGGCGGCUUGGUAGGUCCGCUGUGAAAACUCGAGGCUCAACCUCGAGAUGUCGGCGGAAACCACUUGGCUAGAGUCCGGAAGAGGAGAGUGGAAUUCCCGGUGUAGCGGUGAAAUGCGCAGAUAUCAGGAGGAACACCGGUGGCGAAGGCGGGUCUCUGGGCAACAACUGACGCUGGGGAGCGAAAGCGUGGGGAGCGAACAGG